rnacentral:rRNA from 1 species
AUACGUAGGGGGCGAGCGUUGUCCGGAAUGAUUGGGCGUAAAGGGCGCGUAGGCGGCCCGGUAAGUCUGGAGUGAAAGUCCUGUUUUUAAGAUGGGAAUUGCUUUGGAUACUGUCGGGCUUGAGUGCAGGAGAGGUAAGUGGAAUUCCCAGUGUAGCGGUGAAAUGCGUAGAGAUUGGGAGGAACACCAGUGGCGAAGGCGACUUACUGGACUGUAACUGACGCUGAGGCGCGAAAGUGUGGGGAGCAAACAGGAUUAGAUACCCUGGUAGUCCACACUGUAAACGAUGAAUACUAGGUGUGGGGGGACUGACCCCCUCCGUGCCGCAUUUAACACAAUAAGUAUUCCACCUGGGGAGUACGGCCGCAAGGUUGAAACUCAAAGGAAUUGACGGGG